UUUUGGUUACCCGAGUUUCUAUCCUGUGCUAAACUAAGUGACGACAGUGUACUGAAGAGCUGGGUCAUUUCCAAAUAAAUUAAAGUUCUGAAACAUUCACGCCUUGAAAGGACCUCCCUUUUACACAGAAACAAAAGAGAUUUUUGACUAUCCAAUAAGAGUGUCUGGCACCAUCCUGACAUGUGAAACGUAAGAAAGCAAUUUUUUUUGUUUUGUUUGGUUCUGAUCUUGGGUGUGUGUGUGUGUGUGUGUGUGUGUGUGUGUGUGCGUGCGUGCGGGGGAGGGGAGGGGCGCUACUAUCACUGAUAGGUAUGUUCACCAAUCUGUCGAAUGCCAAUAUAAAAGUCAGUUCUUGGUUGCUGAAGGGAAAUGUAUGACUUGGUAUUAAAAGAAGGUAUGUGGCAUGAAAUCGCAUUUUCUGAAGGAAAACGACGUCGUUCUUUCUUCCAGGUGGCAGUUUCAGGAUGGGAGAAGCAAAGGAAUGGGUACAGAAUGGGAUCAGGAGGUUGUAGGGAAAGUGGACCCCCAGAAAAGAGUGUUGUGCCUAGCACAAGGUUUCUUGAGAGGUUGAACUGCCUUUGCUAAUGGAUUUUAAGUUUCUUUACCUCUUCCGUGAUCUCUUCUAGGUCGGUUCCCCCAAAAGGCUCAGAAGCGACCUGAACCAAACAAAUCCUGGUUGGUGGGAGCUUGUUAGUUCCUUGUUCCUUACCCGGACCUCCUGUGGUCAACCUAGAAGAGAUCACGGAAGAGGUAAAGAAACUUAAAAUCCAUUAGCAAAGGCAGUUCAACCUCUCAAGAAACCUUGUGCUAGGCACAACACUCUUUUCUGGGGGUCCACUUUCCCUACAACCUCCUGAUCCCAUUCUGUACCCAUUCCUUUGCUUCUCCCAUCCUGAAACUGCCACCUGGAAGAAAGAACGACGUCGUUUUCCUUCAGAAAAUGCGAUUUCAUGCCACAUACCUUCUUUUAAUACCAAGUCAUACAUUUCCCUUCAGCAACCAAGAACUGACUUUUAUAUUGGCAUUCGACAGAUUGGUGAACAUACCUAUCAGUGAUAGUAGCGCCCCUCCCCUCCCCCGCACGCACGCACGCACACACACACACACACACACACACACACACACCCAAGAUCAGAACCAAACAAAACAAAAAAAAUUGCUUUCUUACGUUUCACAUGUCAGGAUGGUGCCAGACACUCUUAUUGGAUAGUCAAAAAUCUCUUUUGUUUCUGUGUAAAAGGGAGGUCCUUUCAAGGCGUGAAUGUUUCAGAACUUUAAUUUAUUUGGAAAUGACCCAGCUCUUCAGUACACUGUCGUCACUUAGUUUAGCACAGGAUAGAAACUCGGGUAACCAAAACACCUGGAGAAACGAUUGUAUGUUCAGUUCAGUUCAGUGGCUCAGUCGUGUCUGACUCUUUGGGACCCCGUGGCCUGCAGGACGCUGGGCUUCCGUGUCCAUCACCAACUCCAGGGGCUUGCUCAAACUCAUGUCCAUCGAAUCAGUGAUGCCAUCCAACCAUCUUAGCCUCUGUCGUCCCCUUCUCCUCUGCCUUCAAUCAAGACUCUCAUAGGCAGAUAUUUUCGAGUGUAAUUAGUGUUCAUAGUUUAUCUAAAAGCUCAUAUCAC
ensembl:lncRNA